UACAUGUAUGCAUAAUAUGAGAAAUGAUAUUUUAUUGCCAGAGUCGAUAUGCUUGAAAUGUGAAAGACCCGGCUUCUAUCCCUUGAUGUACUGUAAUGAUAUCAUCAAGGGCGACUACUGCUACACAAGCAUUAUUCGUAAUGCCUCGGGGAUAUUUACUGCAAAAGGACCAGCCACGUCCUCGUUUUGCGAUGCCAACAAGUACAAGAGCAGUCUUGCGAACCCCUCCUGCAGGACCGGGAACAUACCGGAAGGGACAGAAUGCAUCGACUGUUGUAAACAGUACAACUGUGACCCUAAUGACCUUUACUGCAACAAGCAUAUCAUACAGAGCGUCCACAUGCCGUUUACCGUGACUACAGUAAAAACCACACCAACAGUUGCCACGACAACGGUCCCAACAACAACAACAACA